rnacentral:rRNA from 1 species
CCGGACCUGACUGCUAUCGGAUUGGUACUAAGCCAUGCGAGUCAUUGUAGCAAUACAAGGCGGACGGCUCAGUAACACGUAGUCAACCUAACCUAUGGACGUGGAUAACCUCGGGAAACUGAGAAUAAACCGCGAUAGAUCAUUAUGCCUGGAAUGGCUUAUGGUUCAAACAAUUUAUUGCCGUAGGAUGGGACUGCGGCCUAUCAGCUUGUUGGUGAGGUAAUGGCCCACCAAGGCUAUAACAGGUACGGGCUCUGAGAGGAGAAGCCCGGAGAUGGGUACUGAGACACGGACCCAGGCCCUAUGGGGCGCAGCAGGCGAGAAACCUUAGCAAUGUGCGAAAGCACGACUAGGUUAAUCCGAGUGAUUCCUGUUGAAGGAAUCUUUUGUCAGUCGUAAAACCACAGACGAAUAAGGGGUGGGCAAGUCUGGUGUCAGCCGCCGCGGUAAUACCAGCACCUCGAGUGGUCAGGAGGUCUAUUGGGCCUAAAGCAUCCGUAGCCGGCUUUGCAAGUCUCCGGUUAAAUCCAGCUGCUCAACAGAUGGGCUGCCGGAGAUACUACACAGCUAGGGAGCGGGAGAGGCAGACGGUAUUCUGUGGGUAGGGGUAAAAUCCAUUGAUCCAUAGAGGACCACCAGUGGCGAAAGCGGUCUGCCAGAACGCGUUCGACGGUGAGGGAUGAAAGCUGGGGGAGCAAACCGGAUUAGAUACCCGGGUAGUCCCAGCUGUAAACGAUGCAAACUCGGUGAUGCAUUGGCUUAUGGCNAUGCAGUGCNCAGGAAGCGUUAAGUUUGCGCUGGGAAGUACGGACGCAAGUCUGAAACUUAAAGGAAUUGGCGGGG